UCUGUUUCUAUUUUUUCCAGCCUCCCCUUCACAAGAUGGAUAGAUCUUGGCUUUGAGAAACAUUGAGAGCCACACUUUACUGGUUUGCAGAGACCAUAACAUGGACAAAAGUGAUUACUUUAUUUUUAAGGUUUUGGUUUUGUUACACCAAUGAAAACGUGACAGAACGACAAAUGUUUCUACAGACCCAGUAGUAUUACCCAGGACUUCCCUGCCCCAAUUCCCAUGGGAUGCCCCUCCGCUCCUGUUCCAGCUGGGGACAAUGCUCCACUUCAUGGUCCCACCCUGUUUGGCAGAGGGCAAGACCCUUUUUAUUUGUUUUCCUGUUGCAAGCGUGUCACCACCGUCAUGCCAGCCGAGGAUGCCGCUCCACUUUAUGAUUCUGUGGA